ACCACUCCCCACCACAACAGUCAUUGGCUUGGCACGAAGGCGCGUCACGCCGGUGUCGCCUCCGUCGCGUUAUUGGCGGUUCUGGCGGUUCUGGCGUGAAGCAAGAGUCACAGAUUCUGGCGUGAAGCAAGAAUCACGGAUUCUGGCGUAGGACUUUGAAAACUUUUAGGUGGAAGAGAGGAUGAAGAUAAUAAAGAAAACUCGCUGCAAGAUUCUUCUAUGGCUUCUCCGAGGGAGAGUCUUUCUCCAACGUUUUCGAUCGUGUUUCCGGUAACCUCUCUCUCUCCUUUAUCAUUGUUCUCAUUAUCCUUCAUUUUUAUUUAAUUUAAUUGAUUGAUACUUUACACAAUUGCGACAAACUACCACCAACACGUGACUCCGGUGCCAACACCCAACCACAACAACCACCUCCAUGAACAACCGCCAUACACUCUCCGACCAAGAAAACACCAUCCACCACCACAAACACCGUCGUAACACUACUAACGCAACCCACACCGCAUGAUGAAAACGCAGGAUGAUGCAAAACCAGAAUAAAUCGGAAGAAAGCACAAAAACAAAUUCACCGACAAGACGCAACUGAGAGGCAGAAUGGACCGUGAGAGAGUAAGAAGAGAAGGAGAAGAAAGUAAAGAGUUUCAUCCUAAUCUUGAGUCAGGUUUGCAAAGAAAAAUUUGGCCUUGAAAAUAUUAUUAUGAAAUAUGUCCAAAUAAAUAUUUUUAUGAAAUGUUUGGGAUUAAUAUUUGGUAUUAUGCUAUGAAAGUUGCCUAGGAAAACAGGGAUAAUAUUAAAUUACUAAUGGGAUGAAUUAACUUAUUUGAUGAAUGGUAAACAAAUUUGGGAAAUUGUGUCCUUAUUUUAGUCUUUGUGUAUGAGAGAUUCAGAUGAUGAAUGGCACAUUGAAAUUCUUAUUAAAAAGGACAAAUUGAAAAAGAAGAUGCAAAUUUUACCAAGAAUAAGAAGAUGAAAAUUUUAAUAAGAGUGUUGUUAAUAAAGAUAUUCUUUUAUCUCAAAGAAUUAGGUAUUGUUCAUUUUAUUGAUCUUUAUAAAGAUAAGUAUACGUGAAUAUUCUACUUACACUAUUUGUUAUUAUAUAUGUGAAUAUAGUUUCUAAUGAUAAAAUUAGUAAUUUAUCUAUCAAAUUAAAAUUGCAAAUAUGAAGCAAUUCUAACAAAAUAUACCAUGUUUUUAUUUUAGAAUUUAAAAACAAUAAUAAUUUGGUGUAUAUUUGCUUUAUAUUUAUAUUGCAUGAUAAAAUUAAUUCAUAUUUCAUGAAACUAGAAUUCCAUGACUGGGACAUGAGCAUAUGGAACUUAUUGCAAUUCAGAGACCUCCUCCGUGUUAGCAAGGAUAUCUUGCAAAGUGAAAAAAUCUUCAUGUUGAUGAAAACAUGAAAAAACUAUUAUUUAUGUAUUAUCUUUUUGUAACUAAUUUUUCAUGUUUUCAUCAACAUGAUAAUUUUUCCUACACACACUGCAUUGCAAUCAAUUCCAGAUGCUUAAUGAAUAUCAAUUGACCUCAUCCAUGCAAUAUAAGUAUAUAAGCAAAUAUACACUAGUUAAAGACAAUGUUGUGAAUAUUUGUGCGGUAAUGAUGGACACUACCAAAAGUGUAAUUGUGUUUAAUGAUGCAUAUAUUAAUGGUAGUGUCCACCAUAACCUUUUUGAUAUCAACACAAACAUUUAUCAACAUAAAACAUUCACACAUUUAUGCUUUAUUCUACCAUUUUAUUUUAUUUCAAUUUUAUCCUUAUACUUAUGUUUUAUUUUUUAUUUUAUUUUUUAAAAUAUAUGAGAGGAGAUAUUUGUCAUUUUGUGACUUAUUUAUUUUUAAAAACUAAAUUUUGAAUUAUGGAGUAAUUGUAAACAUAAUUCAAAACUUUAACCGUCUUGAAUUUCAUUUUGUUAUCUUUUUAUCAUCUCUUUCAACUUCAAAAUCUAAGCAAGAGCGUCUUGAAUUUCAUUUUUUUAUCUUUUUAUCAUCUCUUUCAACUUCAAAAUCUAAGCGAGAGUCACUCAUAUUUUGAGUUAUUGAACCAAACAUUUCCCUUCAAACCUCAUUCUUCUUCAAUGGUUUAGGAAAACUACUUAUGCCAUCCAAGAACCUCUCUUUGCAAAGUCAUUCAAAAUUCAAAAUUAAAAUUUGAAAAUUCACAAUUUUAAAAUAAAAUUUAAAAUUUAGUUUUUAAAAAUAAAGAAGUCACAAAAUUAUAAAUAUCUCCUCUUAUAUAUUUUUAAAAUAAUAAAAUAAAACAUAAGUAUGGGGAUAAAAUUGAAAUAAAAUAAAAUAAUAAUUAAGAGAGAAAUUCCCUUUAUUUAUUUAUUUAUAUAUAUAUAUAUAUACUUUGAAUUAGUUCGACAAAACGUUUAAAUUUUUAUAUGGGAGUUUAUGGUGUCAUAAAUGAUUCAUCAUAAAAAUAAUGGUCAAUUAAUAACUAAAUCAUAAUAAGUAGUCUCAUUGAAGGUCUUUAUGUGAAGAGUUUAAAUAUACAAAUUGUCUAAAAAAAAUUACUAUCGUCUUAUUAUUAUAUUCAUAUUUUAUACAUAUAUUAAUAUACUAAUAUAUUUAGUGUUACUUAUUUAAGCAUUCAAGAGUCUUCACUCUUAAACUCUUCCUCUUUAUUGUGAUAAGUUAAAGUUGGUUAGUAAAAUCAUUUCUAUCUCAAGAUAUUUCGAGUUAUUUUCUUAAGAACAAUGCAUAUUAAUUCAUUUUUAAAAAUUAAAACUUUAUAAUUAUUAAUAUUUAACCUUUUUUUUUAAAUAGUAAGUUGAUUGCAAGGUCGUGUAGAUAAAUUUAUUUUUAAAAUAUAAAUUAUAUUUCUAAAAUUAUACUUUCUUUCUCUAUAUUUAUUAACAUUUGUUUUUAUAUUUAAUUGUAUUAUAUCUAUAACUUUGAAAACAAGGUAACAAAAAUGUAAAUAUGUAUAUAGUACUUAAUGAUAAAAUUAGUAAUAUAUCUAUCAAAUUAAAAUUGCAAAUAUGAAGUAAUUUUUUUUAAAAAUAUUUAUUUUAGAAUUUAAAAAUAGUAAUAAUUUGUUGUAUAUUUACUUUAUAUUUAUAUUAAAUGAUGAGACAAAUUCAUAUUUCAUGAAACUAGAAUUUUAUCACUGAGAUAUCUGCAUCUGAAAUUGAUUGCAAUUUAGAGACCUCCUCCAUGUUAGCUAGGAUAUGCAAAGUGUAGAAAAAAUCCUCAUGUCGAUGAAAACAUGAAAAAUAUUUCUACCCAUUGUAUUAUAUCCUACCUAUCAUGGAGAUGGUCUCUGCAUUGCAUUGUAAUCAAUUCCAGAUGCUUAUGUCUCAGUUAUGAAAUUUAAGUUUAAUGAAAAUAAAUUCACCCCAUCCAUGCAAUAUAAGUUUAUAAGCAAAUAUACACUAGAUAAAGAUAAUGUUGUGAUUUUCUUCACUAGCGUUCUUUCAACCAAUGCGAGUGAUUGAUCAUCUUUCUAAGUGUUUCUUUCUUUACAAAAUUUGUUACCUACGAAAGAAUGUCACACAAAACACACACACACACACACACACACAUAUAUAUAUAUAUAUAUAUAUAUAUGCAAUAUACAUAUAUUGGUAAUGACCUGUUUGUGUAGAUAAAUGUGUGAAUGUUUUAUGUUGAUAAAUGUUUGUGUUGAUAUCUUCAAGGUUAUGGUGGGCACUACCAUUAAUAUAUGCAACAUUGUUGCGGUUUUCUUC
rnacentral:lncRNA from 1 species